GGUAACUGUGAGUGCAGGACGGGGUGAGAAAGCGGGAAUGCAGGAGGGAACCGCUUUUUCUAUUUCAAGGGCCGGUGUCUUCAGAGGCAGCAACGUGGCGUGUGCUGAGAGAUGUACCGUGUGCUGGGAGAUGAUGUAACAGCGCAGUAUCAGGCCAGCCCUUCCACAGCCUGGGGACUUAGUCUUCCGAAGGGGGGCAGUCUCUGCAGCCUCCUGACCAAUGUUCAGAAGAUUUAUCUCUUCCUCGCUUGGGACUUUCACCCAGCACGUUUCCACGCGAGGCAGCUGCCUACAAGAAGAACAGAAAAGUCCCAGCUGGGCUUAUGGGGAAUGAAAUAAGUCCCAAGCCUCAAUCUCUCUGAAAAGUUGUUAUUAAAUUCUGUGCCUGGCCCUGACCUGGAUUUAAAGAUUUGCAAAAAGACAAAUUCCAAACAGAUGCCCAUUAGGGCCUGACAGCCGCAGCUUAAAGAUAACAUUUACAUUCUGCCGGGGUUUGUAUCUCUCUGUUCCCCACUUGGCCCCUCUCCUUCCUCCAGCGGGAUCAAUACCUCGGCUGAGGUCACGUGGAGGUGGCCACAUUCUUUUAAGCUGUUUGCUCAGUGCUGGGUUUGCUCUGCUAACAUGCCCGGCUCUUCUCCAACAGCCCUGUUUGCCCAGCAUUAGGGCUGUUUGCCGAAACACCUAGCCCAAUCCGAGGGGGCUCAGCUUUCCAAACAGUUGGUCCCCGAAUCUGUCAAUCAAUAACACCAAUUGGGUUCCUCAUACGAACAGCAAGCGUGGCCAAGUCCAAUAUUUGCCCAAGCACCGCCCCCUCCCGCUGCACCUGACUGUCUCUCGGCUUGACGAGGAGGACCAUGGCCAAGCGCACGGGCUGCUGGGAAGACACGAUGCCGGCAAACGGGGAGCCGAUUCCAGGAAAGAAGGGCACAUGAGCAAACAUGAUGGCCCCUUUAUGAGAGGAACUUGGAGUAACUUGCAGUGUCUUGCAGUAUUGUGAAACCAGCAAUUUUUUCACAAUUCUUCUGAAUUUCUAAAGAAAUUUAAAGUGGGGCACCUGUACCAACAUGAAGUGACAUGAACUUAGUGGUGCUUACCAACAAAAAAUGAAAGGAGUAAAAGAGGAGGAAAUUGCAACAACACCUGAAUGUAUGCAAACAUGUGGAAUGCCUUCAAAAUCAUGUGUCACUAAUGAAAAUUCUGAA